GCUAACAGAAGUAUUAGAGCGUUUGUAAUUAGCCACAUUUUAUUUAUUGUUUUCUUGUCAAACUCAGAUGCAAACUUGGGUAUUUUCUCCUAACUGACCACAGAGAUGGAUGAUGUAUAUGAGGAGGAUGAAGCUAUGAGUUUCAAGACCUCCUCUCUGUGUUAUUGUGCUGCUGGCAAAGGAUGUGGAACCAACUCCACAUCUGCACUUCCACCUGAACAUCUGGUCGGGAGAGAGCCCUGGAACGAGCCCAGACGUGUGUCCGGAGAAUACAUCCUCUGACCGUUUCCUGCUGCUCCUACCAUCUCCUCAACUGAAGGUGUUUGGCUUAAACUGACCUGGUAAGCCACCAGCUCCACCGCCUACUCCUGGGCCUGUUCCUGCAGCACCUCCUGCUCCUCCUGCUGCACUACCUGGACAGAUAAUUUUACCUGGUCUAUA